rnacentral:rRNA from 1 species
GACGAACGCUGGCGGCGUGCUUAACACAUGCAAGUCGAACGGAAAGGCCCCUUUGGGGGUACUCGAGUGGCGAACGGGUGAGUAACACGUGAGUAACCUGCCCUUGACUUCGGGAUAACUUCAGGAAACUGGGGCUAAUACCGGAUAGGAAUCCUUGCUGCAUGGUGGGGGUUGGAAAGCUUCGGCGGUUUUGGAUGGACUCGCGGCUUAUCCGCUUGUUGGUGGGGUAGUGGCUUACCAAGGCUUUGACGGGUAGCCGGCCUGAGAGGGCGACCGGCCACAUUGGGACUGAGAUACGGCCCAGACUCCUACGGGAGGCAGCAGUGGGGAAUAUUGCACAAUGGGCGGAAGCCUGAUGCAGCAACGCCGCGGGCGGGAUGACGGCCUUCGGGUUGUAAACCGCUUUCAGCAGGGGCGAAGCUUGUGGUGACGGUACCUGCAGAAGAAGCACCGGCUAACUACGUG